rnacentral:misc_RNA from 1 species
UUGUUUCUCCUUGCAGCCCCGGGGUUUCCAGGGGGAAGUUGAAGCCGGUGCUGGGGCCCUGAAGCCAUCCUUUUGAGGCGGGUUUCUUGGUCCAUGGGUCUCUGUUUGUGCUCUCGGAUGCGGAAUACUAUGCGGACAAAGGGCCUUUGGCCUUUGGUUGCUCCGAAUCUAGUCCCUCGACACGAACGACUAUCGUUACCUUAUUGGCCGUUGGGUUCAUUUGGUGCGA